rnacentral:rRNA from 1 species
UACGUAGGGUGCAAGCGUUGUCCGGAAUUACUGGGCGUAAAGGGCUCGUAGGCGGCCAACUAAGUCGGACGUGAAAUCCCCCGGCUUAACCUGGGAACUGCGUCUGAUACUGGAAGGCUUGAGUAUGGGAGAGGGAUGUAGAAUUCCAGGUGUAGCGGUGAAAUGCGUAGAUAUCUGGAGGAAUACCGGUGGCGAAGGCGGCAUCCUGGACCAUUACUGACGCUGAGGCGCGAAAGCUAGGGGAGCAAACGGG